rnacentral:rRNA from 1 species
AAUCUUGCGCAAUGGAGGGAACUCUGACGCAGCGACGCCGCGUGAACGAUGAAGGUCUUCGGAUCGUAAAGUUCUGUUGUCAGGGAAGAACAAGUAUCGGAGUAACUGCCGGUACCUUGACGGUACCUAACCAGAAAGCCCCGGCUAACUACGUGCCAGCAGCCGCGGUAAUACGUAGGGGGCAAGCGUUGUCCGGAAUUAUUGGGCGUAAAGGGUGCGUAGGCGGCCUUUUAAGUCAGAUGUGAAAGCCCACGGCUCAACCGUGGGAUUGCAUUUGAAACUGGAGGGCUUGAGUAUCGGAGAGGGUAGUGGAAUUCCCAGUGUAGCGGUGAAAUGCGUAGAUAUUGGGAGGAACACCAGUGGCGAAGGCGACUACCUGGACGAUUACUGACGCUGAUGCACGAAAGCUAGGGGAGCAAACA